UNUGACUUGGGUGCAGAAGGGGAGAGUGGAAUUCCAUGUGUAGCGGUGAAAUGCGUAGAUAUAUGGAGGANCACCAGUGGCGAAAGCGGCUCUCUGGUCUGUCACUGACGCUGAGGCUCGAAAGCGUGGGUAGCGAACAGGAUUAGAUACCCUGGUAGUCCACGCCGUAAACGAUGAGUGCUAGGUGUUAGGCCCUUUCCGGGGCUUAGUGCCGGAGCUAACGCAAUAAGCACUCCGCCUGGGGAGUACGACCGCAAGGUUGAAACUCAAAGGAAUUGACGGGGGCCCGCACAAGCGGUGGAGCAUGUGGUUUAAUUCGAAGCAACGCGAAGAACCUUACCAGGUCUUGACAUCCCGAUGCUAUUCUUAGAGAUAGGAAGUUACUUCGGUACAUCGGAGACGGGUGGUGCAUGGUUGUCGUCAGCUCGUGUCGUGAGAUGUUGGGUUAAGUCCCGCAACGAGCGCAACCCUUAUUGUUAGUUGCCAUCAUUAAGUUGGGCACUCUAGCGAGACUGCCGGUAAUAAACCGGAGGAAGGUGGGGAUGACGUCAAAUCAUCAUGCCCCUUAUGACUUGGGCUACACACGUGCUACAAUGGUCGGUACAACGAGUUGCGAGCCGGUGACGGCAAGCUAAUCUCUGAAAGCCGAUCUCAGUUCGGAUUGGAGGCUGCAACUCGCCUCCAUGAAGUCGGAAUCGCUAGUAAUCGCGGAUCAGCACGCCGCGGUGAACACGUUCCCGGGCCUUGUACACACCGCCCGUCACACCACGAGAGUUUGUAACACCCGAAGUCGGUGA
rnacentral:rRNA from 1 species